rnacentral:siRNA from 1 species
GGAACUGCAAUUGAUGAAGAA